GCGGUCAACGCAGGCAGUGAGAUAUCUCACAGACGAACUGGAGGAGACCCAGCAGAUUUUAAGAGAGACCCAGGAGAGAGCUGGCCAAACCCAGCGCAGCUUCUCCAAACUGAGCAACGAUGUUAAAUCUCUUAAAGUUCACGUUAAAAGGCUUGAAGACAAGGUAGUCUCCAACCUUCUUCUCUUUGAAAAAGUAAAGAUGGUGCCCUUUGUUUAAAUAGUAAGAUUUUUUCUUUUUAUCAUCGACAGAAUGAAAAGCUCAUUUCUGAAAAGACAAGAGCUGAGGAUGACCUGAACAAACUGAAGAAGGUCAACUCAGAGCUGAGGGUUCGUGUGAAACUUUGGUCUGUACGUCUCAGAAAUACAGCUCUGAUUUCUGGGUUGAACACUUUCUUUUUGCAGAACAAACUCGAAGAAACUUUCUUCAUGCUGAUGCUGAAGGGCAGAGAGAUAACAAAGAAGGACAUAAUCAUGGACAAGAUGAAGAACUCUCACGUGGAGAACCACAAAAUGAUCAAGAGUCUACAGGCUGAGCUGAGGAGGUUACUGGAUCACUCACAACAACUUCUUCUGAGGUAUUUUAGGCAAUAGAAGUCCCAUCUCAUCAUUUUGAUUUGUCCAAGUUGUCGUCCG